GUGCCAGCAGCCGCGGUAAGACGAACCGUGCGAACGUUGUUCGGAAUCACUGGGCUUAAAGGGCGCGUAGGCGGGCUAUCAAGUCCGGGGUGAAAUCCUCCAGCUCAACUGGAGAACGGCCUCGGAUACUGAUGGUCUCGAGGAGGAUAGGGGCACACGGAACUGUGGGUGGAGCGGUGAAAUGCGUUGAUAUCCAUAGGAACUCCGGUGGCGAAAGCGGUGUGCUGGAUCCUUUCUGACGCUGAGGCGCGAAAGCCAGGGGAGCAAACGGGAUUAGAAACCCCUGUAGUCC
rnacentral:rRNA from 1 species